CUAGUACUCCCUCCGUUCCGAAUUACUUGUCACAAGUAUGGAUGUAUUUAGAUUUAUUUUAGUUCUAGAUACAUCCAUUUCUGCGACGAGUAAUUUGGAAUGGAGGGAGUACAUG
rnacentral:pre_miRNA from 1 species